UACGUAGGGGGCGAGCGUUGUCCGGAUUCAUUGGGCGUAAAGCGCGCGCAGGCGGCUGGGCAAGUCGGCCGUGAAAUCUCCGGGCUUAACUCGGAGGGGUCGGGCGAGACUGCACAGCUCGAGGCGGGUAGAGGGCAGUGGAACUCCGGGUGUAGUGGUGGAAUGCGUAGAGCUCCGGAGGAACACCAGUGGCGAAGGCGGCUGCCUGGGCCCGGCCUGACGCUGAGGCGCGAAAGCGUGGGGAGCGAUCCGG
rnacentral:rRNA from 1 species